rnacentral:rRNA from 1 species
UACGGGGGGGGCAAGCGUUGUUCGGAAUUACUGGGCGUAAAGGGCUCGUAGGCGGCCAACUAAGUCGGAUGUGAAAUCCCCAGGCUCAACCUGGGAACUGCAUCCGAUACUGGAUGGCUUGAAUUCGGGAGAGGGAUGCAGAAUUCCAGGUGUAGCGGUGAAAUGCGUAGAUAUCUGGAGGAAUACCGGCGGCGAAGGCGGCAUCCUGGACCGACAUUGACGCUGAUGAGCGAAAGCUAGGGGAGCAAACGGG